AAAAAGAAGAAGAAAAAAC
rnacentral:sRNA from 1 species